UAGAUGAGAGAGGCAAGAUGGGGAAGAGGAGCAGCCUGGUUCAAAUUAGGUCACAUAGCAGAUCUUGUGAAUAUCUGAAGCAGCCUGAGGCCAACCCUGUCAGGAGGAGUGCAAUGACCAUACAGCUGUACAGUUUUAAUAUCAGAUGGGGCCAGCAGGUACAUUGAAGAUGGAGAGAUUUGUAGCAGAUUUCCACUGGUUUUCUUGGGAAUACAUAUUUGUUAUGCAGAAA